rnacentral:rRNA from 1 species
CCUACGUGGGGCUGCAGUGGGGAAUAUUGGACAAUGGGGGCAACCCUGAUCCAGCCAUGCCGCGUGUGUGAAGAAGGCCCUCGGGUUGUAAAGCACUUUCAGUGAGGAAGAACGCCUGGUGGUUAAUACCCAUCAGGAAAGACAUCACUCACAGAAGAAGCACCGGCUAACUCCGUGCCAGCAGCCGCGGUAAUACGGAGGGUGCGAGCGUUAAUCGGAAUUACUGGGCGUAAAGCGCGCGUAGGUGGCUUGAUAAGCCGGUUGUGAAAGCCCCGGGCUCAACCUGGGAACGGCAUCCGGAACUGUCAAGCUAGAGUGCAGGAGGGGAAGGUAGAAUUCCCGGUGUAGCGGUGAAAUGCGUAGAGAUCGGGAGGAAUACCAGUGGCGAAGGCGGCCUUCUGGACUGACACUGACACUGAGGUGCGAAAGCGUGGGUAGCAAACAGGAUUAGAUACCCUGUAGUC